CUCCCGGAACCCACUAAGUUAACUAGGUAAAAUUAACCUAGUUAGUAAUGAGUAACUAAAUAAUAAACUAUGGGUUAUAGUUUCAUUUAUGAAUCUCUAAACUUGAGGGGCUAAACAUGGGCAACUAGAGAAGUGUUUUAUUAAAACACUUAAAUAAAAAAAAACACACAUACAUGUGUGUACGUAUGCGAUCAGAAGAAGGAGCCAGGAGAGCUCAAACCCUAGUUCAACAAAUCCUCCAAAUCGAAGCUCAAAUCAAGCCCGAAUCGUCUGCAUGAUUACAAAUUCGUGAUCGCCUAGUCGUGGGGAUCAUAAGGUGUACCUUAUAUGCUUGCGAAGCUGACUCUAAACAAGCUAGGUGGGAGCUUGAAAAGGAACGGGUCAAACGGAUCAUGGAUGCGAAGAAUGUUUGCGCGGACGCGAGGUAAGUAA
rnacentral:lncRNA from 1 species